CAAGGGCAUGAUGGGAAGUCAGGAGGCUCCCGAACAUGGAGAAGGAGAGCCUUGAAAGCGCCUAGGGAUGCAGGAGAAUCCUGUCCCACUCUCUUAGGAAUCUUCCAGAUUGUUCUCAUCUGCUUGGUUCUCUUUCUUCACAGACUGCUCCCUGACCAUAGCGAGUACGUGGUCUGGAAAACAAUGCUGUUGGUUUCUUAGAUUCUUGCAAGGAUCACAGCUGAAAAGACAACACAGAAGGGCAGGAUUCUGGAAGCUCUGACCCGCCGUGGAGAGUCAGGUCAGCGGGCUCGGGCUGUCAGCAUCUUUCUGUGUAGCCCAGCUUCUCUUUUCCAGCUGUCUGUGAGGAGGAGAGGACAGAUUUGGAUGUGUGAAUGCAAGGGAAAACUCGAAAGGCAGGCACAUCUCUCAUGCUUCUGUGUGCACAGAGCUCAGCCGGAUCAGCUGGAGUCACAAGAGGAGGGGACCAAUGCACAUGCAGACAUGGCGUUUUAAAGAUAAAUGGUAAAACUGAACUGGAAAUCCAUCUGGCCGGCUGCCUGCUCUAAUGAAUAACCCCACUUUGGCUCGUGCAAUAGCCGAUGUCAAAAUUUGUGGAACUGUGAAAGAAGUUAAUGCAAGUGAAGCGUUAAGACGUGUUCUCCAUGUAAACUGGCCUUCUGGGGACAUGCUGCUGAUGUCCCUGUGCUCCAUCAGGCACCACGAAUGCGCCGCUCUGGUGGAAGUUAUUGGUAGUGCAGGUGGCUGUACCUGUGUGGGGACCAGAAGCAUAUGGGAAACCUCUACACUUCCUAAUCAGUUCUGCCCUGAACCUAAAACUACUCGAGAAGACAAAUGCCCUUGAAAAGGAGUCUUAAAAGUAUGAUUCACGGACUUGGGAAGAAUUACAGGAUGCAGACGGCCUAGCGAAGUGCCUCCCCCCAAGGAGUUCACAUUUCCUUCCUCUUAAUCUGAGUGAACCAUUAAAAAGUUAGUCAGUCCCCUGGAGGCUCUUCCCAAGGAAUCUCCUCAAAGGAAAUACUCCAUGCUGGAAAGAGCAAAGUUAGAAGACUGGAAACCACCCUUUUGGUGCCUCAUUUGCCAGUAAACACGUGUCUAUUAUUGAACCCAAUUUGGUAACUACUUAUGGUCGACAUUUAAGCUGCUAACUAUGUGUUGGAGAUAUUAAACUGGUGGAGAUAAUACUGGAGUUUGCUCAAAUGGUUCUAAUGGUUAGAAACCAACUUUGAUAUUCCUGACUUCAUAGGCUGGAGUGCUUAGCAUCAUGCUCCUUAAAUUCUUGACUUUAUAUGCUUCUCAAAUUAUCUAGAACAUAAAACAGGAACUGUGGACAAAGCUGAAAAAGAGAAACAAAAUGUUUCCAAUGUCUUAGAAGAAAAAGGAACAAGUCAAAAAAAUGGCAUCCAGAAUCGUAAAGACUGAAAGGACAGAACGUGGUCUGCGGUGGUGAUGUUUAUUUUUACAAUGGUGAAAUUACUAGUAAACUUGGCAUGCAGGAAGUGCGGAAGGGACCAGAAAGGAAGAAGAGGAAAGAAAGAAGACACUACAUCUUUAAAUUGAAUUGAAUGUUCUGUGACUUUAAAUGAAAGCUCUUCUGUUGUUGGGCAAAUAAAUUUAAACCACUUAACAUGGCAGAGAAGGUCAGGCAAGCUUAUUAUAGUGAUCAUAGCGUUACAGCUAUUGCGAUUGACCGCUGCUCUCUGGAAUCACCAAUAAUCAGAGACCGCAAGCUGUGUUUGCAGAGAAAGGUCAUCAUUCAUUUUUUUCAAAGCAUUAAUAUCUUUUGUUUGUUUGGCUCAACAUGAAACAGGAAUCGAUAGAGGUAAUUCACAGAGCAAUUAGCCUCUCAUCUGUCAAACAGCAUCUGGGUGUAUUUAACAAAAAGACCUUUGGAAAGGUUUAAAAAAGGAAGAAAGUGCCUGUGCGAUCAACAAUUUAUAUUUUCUACAUGACAUGUUGUGUAUGUAUCUGUGAAAAGGGGGGCCUUGGGAGUAAGAAAAUAUAUAUAAAACAUGCUGUAAAUCUACACUUCAAUGUUCUGAUGGUGCUGUGCAGAUAGACCAAGGAAAGCUCAGAUUACAUCUUCAGGUGGUUGCCAGGAAGCCAACGAGGAGUUCUUGGGGUCUUUGUAUCAUAGAUGAACACAGCUGGGUGCCUAAGUUUCUCAGGAAAUGAGAUCUCCUGAAAAAAACUUCCAGUGGACAGUGUAACCAGUUGGAGUAGGUCAAGCCUUAUGAACCAAUGGUCACUGUUGGUAUCAGAGGAUUUGAUUUUGGGGCCAGGCUUGACUGCUUCUGAAAACCAUCACAGCUGUCCUCUGAGCCCAUCGACUGGCGGGGACAGAAGUCUGCGAACGGAGUUGGCCUUCCCCACACAUCACUCUCGCACUGACCCUCUCUUCACGUCUACUCUGCCUACAUAAAAUAGAAUGAAUUGAAAAAUUAAAAGUUUUUUUUAAAAUAGUGAAUGUUGACUGAGAUCAAUUUUUUUUUUUUACUGAAUUUCCAAUAUGCACACUUUGGAUUUAAUGAAAUGCAUAUCAAAGAUUAGACUUUUGAAAAAAUUCAGCCACUGGUCUACACAUUGACACAAAUGCUAUUACUUUCAGCAGGACCAGAUGUAUUUUGGGAAUGUGUUGUGUUUUUUUUUAAUCCAUUGGCUCUUCCUUCUCAAUUUUUUCUUGAUUUUUCUUUCUACCACAUCAUAACCCUUCCUUUAUUUUUUUUUGUUUCUUUUUCUUUAAUUUUGAUCUUUAUCCAACCCAUAAGAUCAUGGCCAAAGAAAGAAAUCAUGAGAUUAAAAAAAGAAAAUGAACUUAUAAAAGUUCGACUUAGUUUAUGACUUGAGAAAAUGUUUUAGGGUUCAAAUCUAGGUUUUUUUUCUUAAUAUUCAAACACUCUAACUGGUUGCCUAUCUACUUUUAGGGUUCUUUCUGGGUAAUUAUAAAUUAUUUUAUCUAGAAAUUAUAUUACAGAGUUAAGUGAAAAAGCAAGAGGCACAAUGGAACUUUGAAUAGAAUCACAACAGUAGAGGAAAAAAUUCCAGCAAAAGAUUGCAAUGAAAUAAUAUUUACAUGAUAUUGUCUUUGAAAGGAAGUAUUUAAAGGUGAUUCACAAGCAUCCAUGGGCUGGAUAUGGGGCUUGGGUCCUAAUUUGCUGAUCUCGGCUCUGGAGUCUUGAAGCUCAAGUUCAAGUUUGUGAUUCAGAGCAUACAAAAUGGCUACUUCUUGGCUACUUCUCUAUUUUGUGACAGCUGUUGCACUACUUAACUAUCAUCACAUGUGAAUAAAGAUGUUUCUCUUUAACUUGAAUCUAAUCUUGUUAUUUCAGAAAAGGCACACUAAACUUUUAAAACUCAGUAACUCUAAAAGAGAGGGUCUUAAUUAUGUGUGACUCAGGCAUUGCUGAGAAUAAGCACAAGGAGAUCAAAUGAAAUUGCAUAUAACCAUGUUUUUCUAUGAUAAAAAGUAGAUUUUCUUUUCAGGAAAAUCCAUGAUACAAAAAACCCCCCUAAUAUCAAUUAAAGUAUU